rnacentral:rRNA from 1 species
CACCGCCCGUCACACCAUGGGAGUUUGUUGCACCAGAAGCAGGUAGCUUUAACCUUCGGGAGGGCGCUUGCCACGGUGUGGCAGAUGACUGGGGUG